ensembl:lncRNA
AUGGGCUUUUCUAUAAGUCAAGGAGCAGGACGACCACCUGGAAAAACAGAGCCUUCCAUAAACACACGAAUAACCAGGAGAACAGUUUCACGUCUUCCAGCAAGCUUGAUUACAUUUGCCAAAAUGCAGACAUGGCAAAUCAUGUUGGCCUUCCUGCCCCUCUUGGUUGGCGCUGCUGCCUAUAAUGAAGAUCGCUGGCCUUCCUUUGAUGAGAUUCCAGCUGGUCUGAGAUCAGAAACGUCAGGUCUUUCACCAUUCCAGAACUCCACAAGUGGCCUAAAGAUGGGCAGGCAAAAUGUGAGAAACCAUUCCAGAGAAGGGCAUCCAGCUUUGCAGGAAAACCUACAUACCAGAAGUAUAUUCAUUAAUGAUAUUAAAGCUGCUGAUCAAGCUCAUACUGUGAAUACUCGCUUGAAUUCAGAGAAGAUUUCUGCAAAUACUGGCCUCGAAAGUGGGACUCUCCCAAGUGCAGACUCUUCUGUCCUUCUUCAGAUGGACCAUAACAGCUCUCAAGUUCUCCAUCACACAGCUUCUCUCACACUAGCUAGAACUGCAGAUGUUUCUGUUAAUCUUUCUUCUAACAGGUUCAAAGAACCAGAAGACAGCAUGACAUCUUCCGUUGGGCCACAAGGUAUGGAACCAAGGGAAAUGGCUUCCAGAACAAGCACUGAUCCUACCUCUUCCCCAGCAUCAUUCCUUCUAGACCUUAAGAGUAUCUUACACUCCGAUUCAAACACAGCACGCCAAACUGUGCUAGGCCAUAAUUCUGCUUUUCUAAAUAUAGAUUCCUCUAUUGCCACCAUUGUCUUAACUUCAAAACAGCUGUCAGCAACUCAUAGGUCUUUUAAUCGCCAGCAACUUCAAUCCCAGAACACCCUCUCGUCCUGGCAGACACUCAUCCCUACAACUGUAGAGUCUCCUGAUCUUUCUGCCUUACCAGCUUCAAGGGAUGGAACCAGUCGUGAUCCAGAGCAUUACAAGGAGGGUCUUCUGAGUUCAGACUUUAAUUAUGGAAGACAUACAGCCAAAGUCCUACAUGCCCGUGGUCAAUUAUCUGCAGUUCCUCAAGGUAGUUCUGUAGAGAACAUCAGGCAGUCAUCCAAAGCAACUGCUGAGUUGCCUUCAAGAAAGGAAAACAUACCUGUAGCAUCUCAUAGUUCAAUGGUUGAAUCCUUUCUUGACUUGGCUAAUAGCAGCAUUACCCAGCUGGCCAAAGUGAAUCCUACUCCUGCUCCUCAUCCAGAUGGAGUUGGGUCAACAGGUUUCAAUUUUUCUCUUGCCAUUGACCAACUGGAUCCUGAUACCACAGCUUUCAGCACCCCUACAGAAGUCAAUGUAUUUCCCAGACAGAAAAGUUCUGAAUUGAAAGAGCACCUUACAGGCUCUGACAUGACAUCUCCACCUCUGUAUCUUGACACUACAAAAGAGCACAAGGACUCGUCGCUGGUAACUUAUGACAUGAUGAGCGCUUCUCUGGGUGAAGGACCUAAACUGGAAUUGAAAGAAGGUAUUUCUCCUGUAGGAGAAGACCAUACUGAUCCUCAUGUUGUUUCUACCCCAGAUAUCGCAAAUGUUAAAAGUGGUGCCAACAGCUUUGGCACCAGCCUCCAAUCUUGGCAGCCUCCAACUCUUCUGCCUCUAAGC